UACGUAGGUGGCAAGCGUUAUCCGGAUUUACUGGGUGUAAAGGGCGCGUAGGCGGGCAUGUAAGUCAGAUGUGAAAUUUAUGGGCUUAACCCAUAACCUGCAUUUGAAACUGCGUGUCUUGAGUGAUGGAGAGGUAAGUGGAAUUCCUAGUGUAGCGGUGGAAUGCGUAGAUAUUAGGAGGAACACCAGUGGCGAAGGCGACUUACUGGACAUUAACUGACGCUGAGGCGCGAAAGCGUGGGGAGCAAAC
rnacentral:rRNA from 1 species